rnacentral:lncRNA from 1 species
GAACAUUAGGUUCUGGGAGAGUCUCAUUUGAGAAUGAGGCUUGCAUGCCUUCUCUCCUUUUCCUGCAGUUUUCAGCUCAGCAGGUGACAAGUGAGUCUGGGUUUGUUUACAGUGACUCUAGGGCUGUUCCAUUCAUUGAUUUGGUUCAAGUGCUGUGUCUAAAUCAUGCUACUCUGAACAUGGUCAUCCCACAGCCCACGUGAUUAGGGGCAUUGCUCUCCCACUGUGAGACACACUGGCAUGGGACUCCUGCAGUGCAGAAUUCUGGAAUGUCGGCGAACAUCAGGACAUGAACUCAGUGACCCAGACAACUGAAGCAGAGGGGAUGAAGCUCACUGGGUCCUCAACAGUUUCUACUUUACCACAAUCCAUGCGGGUGCAUCAUAAAGAGGGAAGACUGAUGACCAAGUGGUUCUGGACAAAUCAAGGUAAAAAGAUCAUACUAUAUUUCACAGGGAUUCGUUUUGGAAUGUAAUGGCUGGUCACUCCCUUGACUGUGUGUAUCUCUUAACACAUAAUUCUGAAAUGUGGCCUGCACCAUGAAGAUAUACAUGAGAUGGGCGUUCAUUACUUCUUCAGUCAUGCUGGAGACUCUCAAAAAUAACACUUUUGAAAGAUCUUUAUUCUUGACACUUUAUUUUUCAUUUAAAACUCAAAAAGCAGCAUAUUUCUUUUGAGGUUUGAGUUUAGGCAGUUCCUUUUCAAAAGAAUACAUACACAUGGCCAGCAUAUGAAAAAAAAUCACUUAUGAUUAGAGAAAUGCACAUCAAAACCACAAUGAGACACCAUCUUACACCAAUCAGAAUGGCUGUUACUAAAAAGUAAAAAAAUAACAGAUGCUGGUGAGGUUACGGAGAGAAAGGAGUGCUUCCACACUGUUGGUGGGAGUGUGAAUUAGGCAGCCACUGAAGAA